rnacentral:misc_RNA from 1 species
GUAUGACUCUGGUUUCCACGUGUUGCUCUUCAUAGAAAACUUUGAGAGGAGAUACCAAAUAUGUAAAAUAAACAAGAAAAUAAUGGAUGAAUAUCGCAUCAAAAUGUUCACGGACCUCAUCCUGAACCCUCUCAACAAAAGACAAACAAUCAUAACUCAAUCUAUUGAAGAUGAUGAGGUUAUUUGCUUGGAAGAUGGUUUCUCAUAUAACAAGAAUACUUUUGAAGCUGCUCUUGACAACGACGAAGCUAAAGAUUUGGAUGACAACUCAGAUUUCAGCAGUCCUUAUAACAUAGUUGCUGGCAGUGAGAAGGUUGUUGUUACUGCCAGUGAGAACGAUGACAAGAUGACUAAUGAUGAGAAGACUGUUGUAGAUGGCAAGAUAUCUGAUGCUGGUAGUGAGAAUGUUGUCAUGCCCAAGAACAUAACUUAUAGACAUAGAAAGAAAAGAACUAUCAGUCAGUCAGCCAAUCAGUCAGAUGAUGCAGGUAAUGCAGUAGAGUCAGAUGAUGCAGGGAAUGCAGCAGAGUCAGAUGAUGUAGGGAAUGCAGCUUAUUAGGUUGCCGCUGAUGUUCAACACUCUCCUGCUGAUGAUGGCACCGUUACAACUCC